UGGGGAAUUUUGGACAAUGGGCGCAAGCCUGAUCCAGCAAUGCCGCGUGCAGGAGGAAGGCCUUCGGGUUGUAAACUGCUUUUGUACGAAGCGAAAAGGUUUCCUCUAAUACGGGGGGACUGAUGACGGUACCGUAAGAAUAAGCACCGGCUAACUCUGUGCCAGCAGCCGCGGUAAUACAGAGGGUGCGAGCGUUAAUCGGAUUUACUGGGCGUAAAGCGUGCGUAGGCGGCUUUUUAAGUCGGAUGUGAAAUCCCCGAGCUUAACUUUGGAACUGCAUUUUUAACUACCGAGCUAGAGUGUGUCAGAGGGAGGUGGAAUUCCGCGUGUAGCAGUGAAAUGCGUAGAUAUGCGGAGGAACACCGAUGGCGAAGGCAGCCCCCUGGGUCGAUACUGACGC
rnacentral:rRNA from 1 species